rnacentral:rRNA from 1 species
CCCUUAGAUGUUCUGGGCUGCACGCGCGCUACACUGAUGCGCUCAACGAGUUUUAACCUUGCCUGGAAAGGUUGGGUAAUCUUUUUAAAACGCAUCGUGAUGGGGAUAGAUUAUUGCAAUUAUUAAUCUUCAACGAGGAAUUCCUAGUAAGCGCGAGUCAUCAGCUCGUGCUGAUUACGUCCCUGCCCUUUGUACACACCGCCCGUCGCUCCUACCGAUUGGGUGUGCUGGUGAAAUGUUCGGAUCGGCCGUUUGUCGCGGUUUCCGCGUCAUGUGGCUGAGAAGUUCAUUAAACCCUCCCACCUAUAGGAAGGAGAAGUCGUAACA